rnacentral:rRNA from 1 species
CCUACGGGGAGCUGCAGUGGGGAAUAUUGGACAAUGGGCGAAAGCCUGAUCCAGCCAUGCCGCGUGUGUGAAGAAGGCCUUCGGGUUGUAAAGCACUUUCAGUGGGGAAGAAAGCCUUGGGGCUAAUACCCUCGAGGAAGGACAUCACCCACAGAAGAAGCACCGGCUAACUCCGUGCCAGCAGCCGCGGUAAUACGGAGGGUGCGAGCGUUAAUCGGAAUUACUGGGCGUAAAGCGCGCGUAGGCGGUCUGAUAAGCCGGUUGUGAAAGCCCCGGGCUCAACCUGGGAACAGCAUCCGGAACUGUCAGGCUAGAGUGCAGGAGAGGAAGGUAGAAUUCCCGGUGUAGCGGUGAAAUGCGUAGAGAUCGGGAGGAAUACCAGUGGCGAAGGCGGCCUUCUGGACUGACACUGACGCUGAGGUGCGAAAGCGUGGGUAGCAAACAGGAUUAGAUACCCCAGAGUC